rnacentral:rRNA from 1 species
CAAUAGCGUAUAUUUAAGUUGCUGCAGUUAAAAAGCUCGUAGUUGGAUUUCGGGUGGGAAUGGCCGGUCCGCCGUUUCGGUGUGCACUUGCUACGCCCACCUUGCUGCCGGGGACGUGCUCUUGAGUUCACGCUCGGGACACGGAGUCGGCGAGGUUACUUUGAGUAAAUUAGAGUGUUCAAAGCCGGCCUACGCUCUGAAUACAUUAGCAUGGAAUAACACGAUAGGACUCUGGCCUAUCUUGUUGGUCUGUAGGACCGGAGUAAUGAUUAAGAGGGACAGUCGGGGGCAUUCGUAUUUCAUUGUCAGAGGUGAAAUUCUUGGAUUUAUGAAAGACGAACUACUGCGAAAGCAUUUGCCAAGGAUGUUUUCAUUAA